rnacentral:rRNA from 2 species
UUGUACACACCGCCCGUCACACCACGAGAGUUUACAACACCCGAAGUCGGUGGGGUAACCGCAAGGAGCCAGCCGCCGAAGGUGGGGUAGAUGAUUGGGGUGAAGUCGUAACAAGGUAGCCGUAUCGGAAGGUGCGGCUGGAUCACCUCCUUU